ACGGUCCGCACAACUCCUGCUGACUUCAUCGUCGCCAAUCACGAGCUCAUCACCGGACCUCGCAACUCACAGCACGUUUCUCUUGACAACAAUUAUCAUAGCCUGACGACUCGUACACACCAACAACUUGCUCGGCACACACGAUCUCAACAUGAGACUUCGGGUCGGCAAUAUUUCGAGAUCGAUUCCAUCUCUCUCUACGAACUUGGGGGACUUACUGUUGGAGAUGAAUUUACAUCCUCCUCAAGACCCAUUAGACAUUGAACUAGACCCAUAUUGCUAGGAAGCCCUAGGCUUCAUCUUUGUAUAAAUAAGGAGAUCUUUCUCUUGAUUAAGGAUCUCUUUCUCCAUUUCUUAGACUUGAGACAUUUUCAUAUAGAGAUCUAAUUGAUUCAUAGGUUCACUUUACACUUCAAACACCUUUGUAAUGUAAUCUAUAAUCAAUAUGAUCUCUUUUAUACUCUUUUUCAUGUUCAUUUCUCAUUUGAUUCUUUCAAGAUUUCUCUUAAACCUCAAAGAAUCUAAUCAGCAUUUUUAAAUUCUUUUAUUGUAUUGAUUCAACAAAUAUUUCAGCGUAAACACCAUUCUUGGAUCAAACAGAUGUGUAGAAAGGGAUUGUAAGGUAAACUUCCUCGAAACUCUAAGAAAAAUAAAAAAAUUGACUUCCUAGAGUUCGACUUAAACAACAAAGGAUGUCAAUCCCUUUUAUCGUGCGCAAGAGAUUCUCCCAAAUAAAUCUUUACAUGUUUAAGUUAAUGUUUGCGUAUGUAACAAAUCAAAUAAAUAUUUUGUAGUCUGUAACUCUAGAUAAAUAAUCAAGGUAUGAAUUUUAGAUGCGGGUUGAAGUUGUAAAGUUAAAGAGAAUAAAGCAUUCAAAAUGGUAUCUUCUGUUUUCAAAGACUGAUCUUUUAUGGCUAAUUAUGAAUUUAAUUUUUUGAAUCA